CCCUAACUAAGAUACCGUUUAGGUCGAGAGAAAGGAAAUAAUUCCCAGUUUCUUCUUUUCGGUUCUUCCCCAAUUUCAUCCCACUGCUGCAGAAUCUGAAAUCGAGAAUCUGCAGUGAUUGUUGGAUCUGGGUUUUACUGGGUUCAAUUACUGAGAUAUAAAUUUGAGGUCGCUGCAGAUGGGUUAGAGGAUUCUAAGUUUAAUUGCAUGAUGCAUAAUCUACAUAGGUUAGGGUUUCUGUUAAGUUUAAUUGCAUGAUGCAUAAUCUACAUAGGUUAGGGUUUCUGUGCUUUGUUUUGAUUUUUGAAACUCUAAUCUCUUGAUUUAUGAUCAUACGGGCUUGGUUAGGGAUUUACUUUUUCAGGUACAAUUUUUACAAAAUUUAAGUUAGGGUUUGAAGGAAUCAAGGGUUUACUGCAAUAUGAGUUUGCGCCUAAUUUGGUUGGCUGAAAACCAGAGUUCUCCGCCGCUCUUCCUCUAUCUAUUUUAUGUUCGAUUUUAUGUUUUAUUUUACUUUUAUCUGUUAGCCAAUAUGUUUACCUGCAAUUUCUCAACUUUUAUAAUCGAGAAGUCAGUUAAGAAGAGGAGUUACAGCUGAUGGGUCGGUUGAUUAACAUGGAGAAAAUUUGGUUUCCCUGUUUGACUGUGGUGAUAAACGAUCUAGGUUGAUUGAUGGCUGAUUUGAGCUUUUUAAUGAUUUAGGAUUCAAUUUGGGUUUAUGUGGAUUUGAUUGAUGUGUAAGGAAAUGUAGUGCCUCAAACAUCAGAAGAGGAUACAAUCUCUUCAACUCCAACAGAGUGCACAUGCAGUGUUUGCUAAAAUGCCUAAACGGAUGUCAUGAAAGAUAUUGUACAAGAAGGACAUGACUGUGAAGAAGUUACUGGAAGAGAGAAGUUUCCAAAAGUUUUUAUGGGGAAGCAAAAUUGUUUGGAGUAGCAAUAUGCAAAAGACAUUGUUACAGAUGAUACGCAGGAAUUUCAUGGGGCUCUUCAGAUAAAGUAAUGAUGCAGGUCUAAGAGCAAAGGAUCACAUUUGGUGUAGUAAUGCGAUAUGUACAAAUAGAGGUAGUUAGCAACUCUAAAUUGUUGCCUUACGAGCCAAUUAAAAACUUCUCCAUUAACCGGGUGUAAAUAGCACAGUUAAAAGUAGCAUAGUAAUUUUUUCACUAUAACAUAUAUCUAUUAUGGGAAUCACUGGCUGAACAUGUUAUAGUUCUAUGUAUUGCCAGGUCCAUAGAUUUCACAGUAUCUUUAUUAGAGAAAUUAUGCAAGGAACCAUAUGGAAAUUUGAAAUAGGCUGUUAGAAUCUUAUCAGGUCACUCUGAAGUCAUGGAAGUUGAAUGGAUAUCAGCCACUGCAUACCAAGUAAGCACAAAAUAAAUGUCAAUUGAAAUUGGAAUUGCUUAGUUUUAGCGGCUUCCGCUGCAGUUUAUCUGCCCAACCAUAUGGAACGCAGAAAAUUAUUUAUUUGCAUACUAUUAUUUUGUUACAAGUGCUAGCCAGCAACAGUACACUCGAUAUAUAUCUAUGUAGAUGGUAAAGGACUAAAAGAGUUGUGGUUAUCGCUGUAAAAUUGUCUCCGACCAAAUUAAGUCACUAUUUCUAAUUCAAAUUCUUUGUCGUAUGGGCUGGUGGUCUUGGGCCGAGUAGCAGUUCGAUGUUGGAUCUGGUGUGGGUCGUGUCAUUGGAUUGUAUUUUAUUUUUCUUUUUUCUUUUAUGGGUUUG